UUAAGCAUUCCACCUGGGGAGUACGAUCGCAAGAUUGAAACUCAAAGGAAUUGACGGGGGCCCGCACAAGCGGUGGAGCAUGUGGUUUAAUUGGAAGCAACGGGAAGAACCUUACCAAAUCUUGACAUCUUUCUGACCGUUCCGUAAUGGGAACUUUUCUUGGGAACAGAAGUGACAGGUGGUGCAUGGUUGUCGUCAGCUCGUGUCGUGAGAUGUUGGGUUAAGUCCCGCAACGAGCGCAACCCUUAUCUUUAGUAGCCAGCAAUUCGGUUGGGGACUCUAGAGAGACUGCCGGGGACAACUCGGAGGAAGGUGGGGAUGACGUCAAAUCAUCAUGCCCCUUAUGAUUUGGGCUACACACGUGCUACAAUGGCGGUGACAAAGGGAAGCAAAGUGGUGACAUGGAGCAAACCCCAAAAAAGCCGUCCCAGUUCGGAUUGUAGUCUGCAACUCGACUACAUGAAGUUGGAAUCGCUAGUAAUCGCGAAUCAGAAUGUCGCGGUGAAUACGUUCCCGGGCCUUGUACACACCGCCCGUCACACCAUGGGAGUUGGAAGCGCCCGAAGCC
rnacentral:rRNA from 1 species